UUGCGGCCCCGAUAGUAGCGGAUACCCCGCAGCGAGGGCGCGGAGCGAAGCGGAGCGCCGAAGCGAGGAGUAGUAGCGGAUAGCGGGAAUUGCC
rnacentral:misc_RNA from 1 species